rnacentral:rRNA from 1 species
CAUACGGGUGGCAGCAGUGGGGAAUAUUGGGCAAUGGGCGCAAGCCUGACCCAGCAACGCCGCGUGAAGGAAGAAGGCUUUCGGGUUGUAAACUUCUUUUGACAGGGAAGAGUAGAAGACGGUACCUGUCGAAUAAGCCCCGGCUAACUACGUGCCAGCAGCCGCGGUAAUACGUAGGGGGCGAGCGUUAUCCGGAUUUAUUGGGCGUAAAGCGUGCGUAGGCGGUUUGUUAAGUCCAGAAUUAAAGCCCGAGGCUUAACCUCGGUUCGUUCUGGAAACUGGCAGACUAGAGUAUGGUAGAGGCAAAUGGAAUUCCUAGUGUAGCGGUGAAAUGCGUAGAUAUUAGGAGGAACACCAGUGGCGAAGGCGAUUUGCUGGGCCAUCACUGACGCUGAGGUACGAAAGCGUGGGGAGCAAAUAGGAUUAGAUACCCCAGUAGUC